GAAGGAACUCAAACAAACGCUACAACCUUGUGAGACUUGAGCCUAAACGUUAUUUGGAGAGUUGAUAAUCUGUGCAUUAUUGUUUUCUAAGUCGUUGCAUGAUCUCAUUAUUCUUUGCUUGGUUACUACUUAGAAGGCGUUUCAUCAUUUAGUUCCAAAUGCUAGAACUCAUGCCCAUUUCAUUCAAAGCAUGUUAUUGAUUAACAUAACACAUAUUCAAGAUAAAGUUGUGUAGUGACCACCACCUUAGCCAAAAAGCCGUGAAUCCCUAUGUCAUUAUGUUUUGUAGGUGUUAACCCCAUUGAGUCUUGUUUAGCCUUUUCUUUGUUAACCCACAUUACCCUCACCUAGCCUAGAUUAGGACUAUCCAUACCCUCGUUCUUAAAGUAUAGUAAGCAUGAUUCAAAUUGAAUUCCUUUGUGGCAGAAACCAAGUGUGGGGGAAGUUUUUAUUUUGUCAAUUGUGUGCCAUAGGCACGGGUAGAAAGAAAAGAAAAAAAAAACAAAAAACAAAAAAUAUUCGUGGAAAAAGAAAUAAAAUAAAAUAAAAUAAAGAAAAAAGUAUGAAAAGUAUGAAAAAAAAAAAAGAGUUGAAAAGAUGUGAAAAAGUGUUCCAAAGUAUUGUUUGUUGAAGUAAGGGUCCAAAACAAUGAAUUCGACCCUAAGGAGUUGUCUAAGUCUUCCCCUUGUGUUUUAAAGUUAAUUUCUGCAAUCUAAGUGAAUUCUAAGUCUUAAUUUCAUUACUUUGCGUACUAAUGCUUGAAGAACGUUUGUUUUCCCUAUCCUUUCUUUGUUAACCAAUACCCCAAGCCCCGUUGCAACCCUUAACUUCUAUCUUGAGUGUUAUGUGUUUCAAUUUGUGGAGUUUGAAUUUGGUAUGAGCAUAUGGUGUCACUGGUUCUCGCAUCUAAGUAGUAGCAUUCCAUUCAUGAGAUCAUAUCUAAACAUGCUUGUUAACUCCGGAAAUUGCGUUCUUUGUGAUACAUAUAUGUGAGCAUUCGUUUUUAUAUCUACAUCAAUUCUCUCACAUAUAACUAGUAUAGGGUGUGUAGUUAGAAAAUCUGAGUGAAAAUAGAGUGCAUAUCUUGUAAGGAUUGAGGGAAUUCUCUAAGGCAUGUUACUACAUUCAAAACAUUGUUUUAAUUGGUUAAUUGUGAACUAGUAAGUAGUGACUAUGAUUAAGUAUGUGCUUAAGUGUUAAAUUCACUCAAAUCUGUGGGAAUGAUAAUCUUUAACAUGUCAUGUGCAUUGGAAAUCCCUAAGGCAAACAUUGGAAGGUUUAGGUUAUGUUUGUUGGUUUUGUUUUGUUUUAUUUCUUUGUUUUGCUCGAGGACUAGCAAAAGCUAAGUGUGGGGGAAUUUGAUAGGAGCAUUUUUAUGCGACUUAAUUGGCUUGUUCUCAUGCAUUUAUAUUGUUUUUCCUUAGUUAGUUUAGUGUUUAAAGUCAUUUUCGUGCAAUUUCAGGUUUUAUUGUCAAAGUAUGCAAAAAGGAGCAUUUUGGAGCUUUUAGGAGCAAAAUUGGGCUUGGAAUGAAGUGCAUAUGCAUGGAGCAAGGAGUUUGGACGAAUUUGAAGUCAAAAGAGGCUAGGAACAUGCUAAAAAUCUGGUGAAACAAAUACAAGUUGCAAGAAGGGAUAGGUUUCUAGAAGGAUUG
rnacentral:lncRNA from 1 species